rnacentral:rRNA from 1 species
GAUGAACGCUGGCGGCGUGCCUAAUACAUGCAAGUCGAGCGAACAGACGAGGAGCUUGCUCCUCUGACGUUAGCGGCGGACGGGUGAGUAACACGUGGAUAACCUACCUAUAAGACUGGGAUAACUUCGGGAAACCGGAGCUAAUACCGGAUAAUAUAUUGAACCGCAUGGUUCAAUAGUGAAAAACGGUUUUUCUGUCACUUAUAGAUGGAUCCGCGCCGCAUUAGCUAGUUGGGAAGGUAACGGCUUACCAAGGCAACGAUGCGUAGCCGACCUGAGAGGGUGAUAGGCCACACUGGAACUGAGACAGGGUCCAGACUCCUACGGGAGGCAGCAGUAGGGAAUCUUACGCAAUGGGCGAAAGCCUGACGGAGCAACGCCGCGUGAGUGAUGAAGGUCUGCGGAUCGUAAAACUCUGUUAUUAGGGAAGAACAAAUGUGUAAGUAACUAUGCACGUAUUGACGGUACCUAAUCAGAAAGCAACGGCUAACUACGUG